rnacentral:rRNA from 1 species
GAUUAACGCUAGCGGCAGGCCUAAUACAUGCAAGCCGAACGGCAGCACGGGUAGCAAUACCUGGUGGCGAGUGGCGCACGGGUGCGUAACGCGUAUGCAACCUACCUAUAACUGGGGAAUAGCCUUCUGAAAGGAAGAUUAACACCGCAUAAUAUCACGAGACGGCAUCGCCUUGUGAUCAAAUCUCCGGAGGUUAUAGAUGGGCAUGCGUGACAUUAGCUAGUUGGUGAGGUAACGGCUCACCAAGGCUACGAUGUCUAGAGGGUCUGAGAGGAUGAUCCCCCACACUGGUACUGAGACACGGACCAGACUCCUACGGGAGGCAGCAGUAAGGAAUAUUGGACAAUGGGCGCAAGCCUGAUCCAGCCAUGCCGCGUGAAGGAUGACGGCCCUCUGGGUUGUAAACUUCUUUUAUACGGGAAUAAACCCCUCGAUUCUUCGGGGGCUGAAUGUACUGUAAGAAUAAGGAUCGGCUAACUUCGUGCCAGCCGCCGCCGUAA